UUGAAACCUUGGAAGCAAAGUUCCUCAUCACAGAACUCCAUGAAAAUGCUUCUCAGCCCCCAGGCAGAGCGGGUGCCUGUGUUCAGCAUGGAGGGACGCGGCUGUCACUGUGCCAGGUGUGACGUGGGGCUGCACCAGAUCGAUGGCACAGAUGCGGGAGAACUCACUAGUCAUGCCAGGUUUAUUUUGAUAUGCACCUAAAUGUUUUGUUGGAUGAAAGGAGACGCAGGGGGCUAUUUUGAAGAGGGGGUGAUGGGCACAUCCCACCACUGAGCCCAGUGAGGGCUAGACCUGCAGAACUGCUUUGCUCUGACUUCGCUCUGAAGCAGCUCUUCUCUGCCCAUUCUGCAUUAAAAUGCAUCAGAUAUAAAUAAAAUCACCCAGACAGGAGAGUUCUUAAAACCAUCCAAAGUCUCUGUUCCGCCCUUGGAGGCAAACAGUUCAGGACCUGCAAGAGCAAGGAUGGUUGGAUUUUCUGAGGGAUAUUUUUGUGUGUUUUGUUGUUGUUGUUCACAAAAGCAGGAGAUGAGCAGGUGAAAGGAAACCUUCAAACCUCAAACCACAGUGAAGCUGUAAGCCUGCAGGCUAGCUUGUGCAGGUGCCCUAAGCACAGGUCUGCCUCUCUGUUGGCUUUGCCCUCAAAUCUCUGGGGUUUGCAAAAUCCCAGAAAAUCCUCCAAAGACGUGAAAGCAAGAAAGCACAAUCCAAAUGGUUUUUCCUUGUGGCUCUGGGUGCCUGGGGAGCAGUUGCAGUAGGGCAGAGCUAGGGAAUUGGCUGCCAGAAGAAUUUGGGAGAUCAGAUACUGUUGCACAAUGGGGUUUUGAGUCAUUCUACAUCCAUGAUGACCCCAAAAUCAUAGAAUCGUGGAGUUUAGAAGAGGUCACUAAGAUCAUCUAGUCCAACCAUCAGCUCAUCACCACCAAAACUUGUCGGUGCUGCGAUCAGCAGAGGUUUUCCCUUCUGCUGUGGUGCUCCUGAGGGCUCUUUGGGCUGUAACUUUUCUGUUGGGAGGGAUGCUUGGACUGGGUUGGUGAAACAGGCACUGGAAAGCAAUGAGGAAACAGAAUUCAUUCCACACCCGUCCCCGUCUCUGGCUCAAGGAAGAAAAUGAUGAGGAGAGAGCUAAUGAACACACGAAAGGAUGCAAGAAGAACUUUAAUUGCCUGUACGGCAGCGCAGGAGGGCAGAGCCAUAAAAAAGAGUGGGAACGACUAAUUUAUGAGUACAAAUUCUAUCUGGAGAGCAUGACUUAAACUUGGGGAGAAAAUCCAUGUGCCUGGAAUAUUAAAAUCAAUAGCUGGAACCUAUCUGCAAAAAAAAAACCAACAAAAACAACAAAAAACUGAGUGGGCAAAGGAGGUGUAGGAGGGACAAUCAAUACAAGAAGGGACAUCGCUGCCAUCCAAGUCAUUAGGAGCUCAAGGGAAAAUGACCUCAAGUACAAGUCAGAGUGAAUGGAUGACACUGCUCAAAUCUCACCAGAAACCAGAAAUAUUUAAGAAAAAUUCCUACAUGGUCCUGAAAAACCUGAACUGGAAUGACGUGAGUUGGAGGGCUUGUGUUGCCAAUUUUGGGAAUUUAUAAGUGUUGUUGUUAACCAAAAUCAGGAGGAUUCUCUGCAGGAUGGUCUUGACAAAUCGCAGCUCUAAAAACCACUUACAGCCAACAUAGAGGGGAUGCCAUUUCCAUCUCAUGUGCAGGGCUUAGACAGAACAAAGCCUGAGCCGAUAGCAGACACUUUUCAACACUGUAAGCCAGGUCACUUGGAGCAUUUUGAAGAGAAAAUGUGUGUGAUAUCUGGCAACUCGUUGUUUAAAAGCACUCUGGCUUUUAGGGCAUCUAGUGAAAUCACAGAGCUCAGAGAGAGAAGGUUAUUCUGGUUAAAGCAGUGACUCGGAGGGGAGGAAAGGGAGGGCUACAUUCACACAAAGGGAAAAUGUGUUAACCAACAGCAAGCAGAAGGCAGGCAGGUGAGACCUCUGCUAGCAGAGCCGAGAGCAGCAGGGAUGUGGUUUUUAGAUAUCACUGGCUGAGUGCAGUUGUCUAGACAGAAUAGUGGACGAUAAAAAGGAAAUACAUAAAAGGCAGACACUAAAUAUUUAAUUCCUCUAAUUUCGGGGGAAAGGCUAAGUAAAUUAGCAAUGUCAUAGAACUAUGAGAAAUACCUCCAGCCUCCAACUCGUGCCCCAAACUCCAAGAGUGCAGCACACCCGAGUGCUGCUGACUUUGUGCCAGCGCAGGAACGUCGCUCGUAAUUAUAAAUCUGAUUAUCUGAUGUUGAUUUUGUGAGAAAUAAUGGAAGAGCUGAUAAGGGACUUGAUUAAUAACAAUUUAAAGAGAAUAAUUAAUUACAAUCAACACGAGUUAAUGGAAAAUAUAUCUUAUUAAAUGAAAUUGAUAUAAUUUUUCAAGAAUGUGAUUAUAGAUUUGAUUGAUUUAGUACAUUUCAUCAACACUGUUACGUUUGACUUCUGCAAGGCAUUUGACUUAAUGUUGUCUCAUUUAUUAGGAAGCUAAAACAAUGUAAAAUCAACACGGCACGCACUAAACGGAUGAAAGCCCCACUGAUAUGUUUAAAUGUACGGCUGCAUGCAGACACUCAUCACAAGUGGCUGUGUUUCAGUUCAUCACUUUUAGCAAAAGGGUAGAAAAUCAAAACUAAUUACAAUCAAAGUUUGCUGAUGAGUUCGAUUUGGAUCAUGAUGGGGCUGGGGAUCAGUCUCCUCCUGAGCCAGAUAGAAGCAAAAACCAUCCAGUUCAACACAUACGCAUACAAAUCCACACUUGGGAACUGGAAUUUCAUGGCAUCUGGGGGGAGGAGAGAUCCUGUAGCACUGGAAGCUCGAACAAAUAGCAGAGUGGAAUACUUCUGGUGUAACAUCUGCUGGGACCCUGCAGCUAUUUCUGGUGCCUGCAACUGAAGAAGGAUGUUGAUGAAUGGGAGAGGGCUCCAAGGAGGCACACAAGAAUGGCUGAAGCGUUGCAAGACAUGCCUUAUAGUGACAGAUUCAAGGACCGCAAUGCGCUUAGCUUAACAAAGAGGAGGUUAAGGGAUGGUUUAAUGACAAUCCAGAUGUGCUCAGACAGACAGAAAUGGAAAGCUCUUCAAUCGAGCAGACAGAGCGAUAAAAAGAGCCAGUGACUGCAAGCUGACACUGCGAAAUUCAGUGGACAGGAGCUGGGACAAGUGCACUUCUUAAAUGGGCAGAAUUAACAUCAGGACAACUUCCCAACAAGUAGUUUCACCAUCUUUCACCAUUUCAAAUUCAUAGAGGAUUUAUUUUUGUUUUGUAUUUUGUAUAUCUCAGAUCCACCAAAGAUCACUCUUUAAAUGAACGCUCAGAGACCCACAAGGCAUGAACAGGAUUCUCCUUCCUUGAUUUCUUAAUGGCCUUAAUUAUGAGUAUUUAAGACAUCAUCCCUGAGCACUAAGUGAGACGGCUCCUUCCUUUUGGAUUGUGAUGAAUCUCAGUGGUGACUCUCACAGACACCUCAGCUUUGCAGAGGAAUGGCUCUGUGGUUCAGGAGCUGCUGGAAUUUCUCCUUUCAUGCAAAUUCCUCACAAAAGCCUUUGGUGCAGACACCUCUUGGGCAUCUCCAGAACUACCUGUUGGCUUCUCCUGGGGCUGGUUUGCAAGACCUGAUGACAUCUUACAGUGCAGCUGGGAACAAACAGGUUUCUUUUCACUUCCCAGGGCUGCAGCUAGCAGAAUGGGAAUGUGCCAGGUGAGCAGUUGAAGCACAACUAGAAAAGAAUAGCUCCUCUGGUGCAAGCAUGGAUUUAGAUGAAAAAUACUGAGUUACUGGAAAUCUAAAUGUAGGCACUGUUUCAAGGUCAGGAGAUUGAGCGUCACCUCACUCAGUGGCGCACUUUCCAAGAGGUAAAGCACUUCUGCUGUCCUGGAUCCAAAGCAAAGUUAAGAGCAGAGCCCAGACACUUGUAUUUAUGUUGUUCUAAGCUGUAUAAUGACCUUAUUUCACAGAGAUUUUAAUUAUUCAUGGUUAAAUACUAUGCAUCCAAAAAAAAUCCCUUAUGCAGGCAGUUGUUGAAGGAGUUGGUGAGGGACUCACAGCAUGGGAGUGGGCACAGAGGGACCUUCUUUCUUCCAAAUGAUAGGCUCUGAGAAAUGCUAUGACACCGCCAGAAGGAAGGAGAAAAAUGCCAUAGAGGAUGUGGGUGCCUUGCCCCUGCUCUAACCUGCAGCCAUGAGAUGUGGAAUAUAUCCAGGAUCACAUCUCUGGAAGGUUAAAUGCAGACAACACAUGGGCUCGGAAAGCUGCAGGCAGCAUGGGGUAUUAGCCAAGGCAGAGCUUUGCUGCAACCUCGUUUUCAUGAUUUAACAUUACGGCUGUAAAUAAUUGAUACUAAUGUAAGUGAGAUAAGAGACAGACUGUCUGUGGGCCAAGAGGAAGUGGAUCCUGGUGACAUCCACCCAAAAAUGUGCUUGCAGAUUUGGCUGAAGUGAAAGCUCUGAAAAGCCAAACGCCCGAUCUGAGAGGCAGGGAAGGGAAGAGAGAUAGGAAAGGCAAGCUAGAUCAGCUCAUAGGACUCCCAUUUUUCUAACUAAUGCUCCCUGUAUUAAUUCCUUAACAAGAGAACAUCAGCAUCACCUAUCGCUGGUUAGUUUGCCAAAGAUUGUUCUUGCACUUGUCCUUAAGACAUGUUCAUGCAUUGUCGGAGGUUGUGAACCUGCGUGGGUAUGGGCAUGGUUUAAAGAACCAGCAUUUUGUAAGAAGGCACAAGGGCAUCCCUCCUCAUCAGGGACACGAGAACCCUAGAGUGCUCGAUACACUUUAUGCCUUUGGCUUUGGUCAUUUACAAAUCAGCUGAGCACCGGGUAGGAGAUAUCCAGCAUCUCAGUCUUUGGAACUGGAGAUGGAUAAUUACCCAUUUGGUUCAGUGAGGACAGAUAUGAGCCAGGCAAUGGAUUCAGCACUAUGGAAACCCACCUGAGUGUGGGGUGAAUGGGCCAUGAUGGGGCUGAAGUUGGAGAUAUCCCUGCUGGGAGCCUCCCGGGGACGUUGAACUGCAGUGGGCUCUAAAUCCCAGUGUUGAUGCUGCUCUUGGCAUUUCCCAUCCCCUGAGCAGCCAGCAUGAUGUCACGCUGGCUUUGAUCCUGCCUGGCACAUAGAAAAAGAGAUAACACCAUCUAAAAAAAAAAAAAAUGGAAAAUGGUGUUGAGCCAUCCUUAAAGCUCUCUGCUAAACUUUCUGCUGCAUCACCACCUUCACACAACCCCUGUGUUUCUCCCCAGCUCAAGGACCUUCCCUUACCCUCAGUGUAAGGUAAGCGUGCCUAAUGGCUUUAAAUUGCAGGAGGAUGCCACAUAGGAUUGCAAGAAAUCUGCAGAGCCGAUUCCUUCAUUGUGAAUGAUUUCCUUGUAGAGGCAGCGGGUCACUCUUAGGGCAGGUAGGUUUGUCGUACGCGCGUCCCAAAGGCCAUGACUACACAUUACUCUGGUGCACAGAUAUGCAGAGCUCUGACGUUGUGUUUUUUUUUUUUCUAAAUACCUCUUAGCCAAGUGAUUUGAGCCAGAAAGCUGGAGGAAAAUUGCCAUUUGGAAAAUGCAUAGAAAGAGCAGCAUUCACUCAUGAGUGACACAGCUGGAGACAGCUAGCGAGACUUUCUCAUCUCUAACAUGAUUUUAUGAUUCAGUGAAUAAUGCAUAUUAGCAUAAUACUAACUAAAAAAAUCCAUACUCAUCAUUUACUAUUAAUUAGUUAUCAACAUUAUCCUAUUAUUAAUUAUUAACAUUUACACUAUCUAUCAGCCCCCAGCUGACUGAUAGCUUAAAAUCUUGCAUAAAGAUUGUUACAACAAUGCUACGUUGCAUCCCAUAACAUACUUUGCAGUCAGCUUGUCAUAUCCCCAUCUAUAAAGCUUUUUACUAAUGCACUUUACAACAGAUCUUAUAGUACACGGAUGAGGAAUGUGGCUGCACCCAGCAAUAAUUCCAUUAAUUAUGAAUAAAGCAUUUACAAAUGACAUCCUUAUUUAAAAACGGUGAUGAACUCAUUUUGUUUUAACAUGGAAGUGCUGUGUUAUUUGUAAUUCUGUAAAAAGCAGUGCUGGCAGCAUGGGAUAGGGAGAGGGGCCCAGAGCUCAUCUUUACAUCAUAAAGGGAAAAAAAAAAACAACAAAAAGAACAGAAAGAAAUUAUUGACAAACAACAAAACUUUAGCAUAAAGCUGACCAAACUCCAACCUGAUGGUUGGAAGGGAUGUUUUAAGGUGCUGUGAAGAGCUAGAAGGCAUUAUUCAGUGACCUUGCAUUGUGAUUGUGUCAAUAAAACUCUCUCCGCAUUACCA